CAGCGACUAAAUUGCAACCCUGCGCUUGUUUCUAAGGUCACUCGCAGCUGAAGUGCGAGCGAAGUGAAAAAUUCAUCAUCAAUGGAAGAGUAGAAGAAAAUAAAUUCUGUAUUCUGUGCAUAGGUAAAUUCAUUAAAUAAUUAUAUAGUGCGAGGAGUAUCGACGAGGAAUCGUUUGCCAUAAUGCAAUAAUUUUGAACAUCUGCGGGAUAAUAAGAGUGCAGUGAUGAGUUUAAGAAAAAAGUGUGAAAAAAAUUCCUGUCGAGAAAAAAUCGAAUAGUGAAAAGGCAAAGGCAAAAGGCGAAGUGAAUUGGAAUUGGUCGUGGAUAGAAGAAGAGGAACGUGAAAGGAAGGAAGCACUCGUGAAAAAAAGAAAUAGCAUAAGGUGAAAGCAUUAAAAAGUCGAUGAAAAAACGUUAAAAUGAGCAAUUAACUAAGUAAAAAUUUUAUAUGGAGCAAGAACAUCAAAAGCGAAAAUUCACAGAGAAGAUCCUCUACCACUCUGCAACUCCUUCCCACCACCACAGCCCGCACUAUACAUUCUAAUACUCAUACACCUGCACAAAAGCCAUACUACGAAAAAUACCAUCACAAAGCAGAAAUUCUGCUAAAGUAGGCAAACAUAAGGGAGCAGCAAGAAUUUCGUCAUUGCCGUCCGUGGCCAUCGGAGGAACUUUUUUCCCGUUCUCGUGUCUCAUCAUUUUUCGUUUUCGUCGUGGGGUUUGUGCCAUUUUCCUUCGAAAGAAAAAUACAUUUGGUGUGUUUGUUCUUAGCUCAGUUGUAGUUGUUGUUGCGCGAUUAUUGCAUAAAUGAGAAAUGGGAAUAUCCCGUAAGCUCGUUUAACUGCGACGACGACUACGACGAAGACAACGAUCAACUUUGGAUUCAUUAUAGAAAAUUAAACGUAAAUUUAAUAUAAUAAUUAAAAAUAAAAUACAUCUAUGUAUGUUACGGGACAACCACGUUGGGAUAACGCAAAAUUAAAACACAAAAAAGGGCGAUUUGAAAAGAGCUAAUCCAUUCAAGGCUAAAGAAAAUAACAAAAAGAAAAUUUCAAAAUUUAAAAAUAUUUGCAACGCAGCAAGAUAAAGUUGGAGAAAAUUCACAAAAAAAAAAAAAAAAAAAUUACAAGCCAUCUAUAAUAAAUACUAGUAGGAAAAGUUAAUAGCACCGACAUAUGUAUUGUAUGUAGACGUAUGUACAUACAUAUAUACUACAUACGUAGAUACACGUACAUACAUGUGCAUAUAUUACCUAUAAAAGCUACAACCGCCUACGUUAGCGCCAUUAACAGCAAAGAGCAAGAAGCAAAUCGCGACAACUAAUAACCAAAUUUGAAACGUUAAUUACAGUAAUUGCAGCAAAAAUACAUAGAAAUUAAACAACAACAACAGACGUGGCAACAAUAUUUUAUAACAAACAAACAAA